UGAUGAAUGUUGAACUUUAUUGUUCCCUAUUGGUUUGAUUGCCGGAAUGAUGGCAUCUUAUGUAUUAUUUGUUUUAUAUCU
rnacentral:snoRNA from 1 species